rnacentral:rRNA from 1 species
UACGAAGGGGGGCUAGCGUUGCUCGGAAUUACUGGGCGUAAAGGGAGCGUAGGCGGACAGUUAAGUCAGUGGUGAAAGCCCAGGGCUCAACCCUGGAAUUGCCUUUGAUACUGAUUGUCUUGAGUAUGGGAGAGGUAUGCGGAACUCCGAGUGUAGAGGUGAAAUUCGUAGAUAUUCGGAAGAACACCAGUGGCGAAGGCGGCAUACUGGCCCAUUACUGACGCUGAGGCUCGAAAGCGUGGGGAGCAAACAGG